rnacentral:misc_RNA from 1 species
AAAGUGCGAAAAGUGUCAUGACUUGCAGAUUCCCGAGAGCUGACAAAUCUCUGAAUGCAAAUGGCAGUCGCGUUAGACCCGACUAUGUAUUGUAGAGUGUAGAUGCUCCAGCUAUUCAUCAUCUUUGUUUUGAUGUGUGUACGUCUCUGUACAUCUUGAUGACAAAGUAUGGAUCUGCGCUUGCGAUGGAUCUCUAUGUUCUAUCGCGAGUGUUAAAAGCAAAGGUCUACAUGAUUCCUUUGGGGAUUAUGUGCACCGAUGAAGUCAACAAACUAAAUCGGAUGCUCUUCGAAGACCGAAGAACAAUAUCUCUAUGAGCCACCUCUACAAUGCAUGAAAACCCGCUGAACUUAA